AGAAUGGUUUAACAAUUAUAAGCUUUCUUUAAUUAAAUAAUUGAAUUUAAUUUUUUUGUGAAGAAGCAAUAAUGUGAAUUAGGGACAAGAAGACCCUAUGAAUUUUGAUUUCAUAAUUUAAUAAUAUUUUUUAUUUAUGAAAUUUGAUUGGGGCGAUAUAAAAAGAAUAUCUAUCUUUUUAUUUAAAAAUUAAUUUGAUCCGCUAUUAGCGAUUAUGUGAGAAAAAUACUCUAGGGAUAACAGCGUAAUAAUUUUGGAUAGUUCAUAUAGAUGAAAUAGUUUGCGACCUCGAUGUUGGAUUAGGAUUCUUUUUUGGUGAAGAAAUUAAAAUUAAGAAGUUUGUUCA
rnacentral:rRNA from 1 species